UAGGAAUAUACCUUAAAGAGGGGGAUAACUUGGGGAAACUCAAGCUAAUACCGCAUAAGUUCUGAGGAACAAAGCUGGGGACCGUAAGGCCUGGCGCUUUAAGAUUAGCCUGCGUCCGAUUAGCUAGUUGGUAGGGUAAGGGCCUACCAAGGCGACGAUCGGUAGCUGGUCUGAGAGGAUGAUCAGCCACACUGGGACUGAGACACGGCCCAGACUCCUACGGGAGGCAG
rnacentral:rRNA from 1 species